GUGAGUCAUCGAAUCUUUGAACGCACAUUGCGCCCGCCAGUAUUCUGGCGGGCAUGCCUGUUCGAGCGUCAUUUCAACCAUCAAGCCCCCGGGCUUGUGUUGGGGACCUGCGGCUGCCGCAGGCCCUGAAAACCAGUGGCGGGCUCGCUAGUCACUCCGAGCGUAGUAGUUACAUCUCGCUCAGGGCGUGCUGCGGGUUCCGGCCGUUAAAAGCCUUAUUUACCCAAGGUUGACCUCGGAUCAGGUAGGAAGACCCGCUGAACUUAAGCAUAUCAAUAAGCGGAGGA
rnacentral:misc_RNA from 1 species